ACUGCUCCUUGAGGAUUUGCAGGUGUGGCUGCCAUGUUUCCCGUGCAUCAGUAGGUGGCAGAGAGGAGAGCAGUUAAAUCUAUGCUCAGAGUUUUGACCUAUGAACUUCUGGAUGAUUAGUAGCCUAAAAUU